rnacentral:rRNA from 1 species
UGGGGAAUCUUGCACAAUGGGCGAAAGCCUGAUGCAGCCAUGCCGCGUGGAUGAUGAAGGCCCUAGGGUUGUAAAAUCCUUUCGCCAGGGAUGAUAAUGACAGUACCUGGUAAAGAAGCGCCGGCUAACUCCGUGCCAGCAGCCGCGGUAAGACGGAGGGCGCUAGCGUUGUUCGGAAUCACUGGGCGUAAAGGGCGCGUAGGCGGCUGUUUAAGUCGAGGGUGAAAGCCCGGGGCUCAACCCCGGAACGGCCUUCGAGACUGGGCAGCUCGAGACCGGAAGAGGAGGGUGGAAUACCCAGUGUAGAGGUGAAAUUCGUAGAUAUUGGGUGGAACACCAGUGGCGAAAGCGGCUCUCUGGUCCGGAUCUGACGCUGAGGCGCGAAAGCGUGGGGAGCAAACAGGAUUAGAUACCCCGGUAGUCC